rnacentral:rRNA from 1 species
GGGCACGACACCGGAGAGGGAGCCUGAGAAACGGCUACCACAUCCAAGGAUGGCAGCAGGCGCGCAAAUUACCCAAUCCCGACACGGGGAGGUAGUGACAAUAAAUAACAAUACGGGGUUCUUUAGGAUCUCGUAAUUGGAAUGAGUACAAUUUAAAUCUCUUAACGAGGAACAAUUGGAGGGCAAGUCUGGUGCCAGCAGCCGCGGUAAUUCCAGCUCCAAUAGCGUAUAUUAAAGUUGUUGCAGUUAAAAAGCUCGUAGUUGAAUUUCGGGGUUAGUAGGUUGGUCAUGCCUCUGGUAUGUACUGGUCUCACUGAUUCCUCCUUCCUUAUGAACCGUAAUGCCAUUAAUUUGGUGUUGCGGGGAAUUUGGACUGUUACUUUGAGAAAAUUAGAGUGUUUAAAGCAAGCUAACGCUUGAAUACAUUAGCAUGGAAUAAUGAAAUAGGACGUUCGAUCUUAUUUUGUUGGUUUCUAGGAUUGACGUAAUGAUUAAUAGGGAUGGUUGGGGGCAUUAGUAUUCAAUUGUCAGAGGUGAAAUUCUUGGAUUUAUUGAAGACUAACUACUGCGAAAGCAUUUGCCAAGGAUGUCUUCAUUAAUCAAGAACGAAAGUUAGGGGAUCGAAGACGAUCAGAUACCGUCGUAGUCUUAACCAUAAACUAUGCCGACUAGGGAUCGGAUGAUGUUAAUUUUUUAAUGACUCAUUCGGCGCCUUACGGGAAA